GGGUAGCGGAGAAAUUCCAAUCGAACCCGGAGAUAGCUGGUUCUCCCCGAAAUAGCUUUAGGGCUAGCGUCGCAGCGAGAGAGCCGUGAAGGUAGAGCACUGAAUAUGCGAUGGCCGCAUCCCGCGGUACUGAGCAUAAUCAAACUCCGAAUGUCACGGUGUCAUCUGCGGCAGUCAGACGGCGAGUGAUAAGGUCCGUCGUCAAGAGGGAAACAGCCCAGACCAUCAGCUAAGGUCCCAAAGUGCAUGCUAAGUGGAAAAGGAAGUGGAGACGUGCAGACAACUAGGAGGUUGGCUCAGAAGCAGCCAUCCUUCAAAGAGUGCGUAACAGCUCACUAGUCGAAUGACUCUGCGCCGAUAAUUUACCGGGGCUAAGCAUGACACCGAAGCUAUGGACAGGAAUGUGGUAGGGGAGCAUUGCAUGCAGCGGAGAAGCAUGACCGGGAGGGCAUGUGGAGCGCAUGGAAGAGAGAAUGCCGGCGUGAGUAGCGGCACGUGGGUGAGAAUCCCACGCACCGAUGGCCCAAGGUCUCCAGAGGAAGGCUCGUCCUCUCUGGGAUAGUCGGGACCUAAGGCGAGGCCGAAAGGCGUAGCCGAUGGACGACGGGUGGAUAUUCCCGUACCCGAUGUGUGGCGAUGGAGUGACGGAGAAGGCUCAGGCAACCAGCUGCUGGAAUAGCUGGGGCAAGCGAGAUACCUGCGCACCAGGGAAAUCCGGUGCGCAUAAGGGGAAGGCGCGAUGCAUACGGAAAGCUUCGGCAAGUACGGAAAAGCUGAGAGCAGGCUUCCAGGAAAAGCUUCUAGCACAACACACAUCGGCCCGUACCGAAAAUGGACACACAUGGGCAAGGAGAGAAUCCUGAGGUGAGCGAGAGAACUAUAGCUAAGGAACUCUGCAAAAUGACCCCGUAACUUAGGGAGAAGGGGUGCUCCAGAAAUGGAGCCGCAGUAAAACGGCCCAAGCGACUGUUUACCAAAAACACAGCUCUCUGCGAAGGCGCAAGCCGAAGUAUAGGGGGUGACGCCUGCCCGGUGCUGGAAGGUCAAGGGGAGCUGUCAGCGCAAGCGAAGCAGCGAGCCGAAGCCCCAGUAAACGGCGGCCGUAACUAUAACGGUCCUAAGGUAGCGAAAUUCCUUGUCGGGCAAGUUCCGACCCGCACGAAAGGCGUAACGAUUUGGGCGCUGUCUCAGCUGUAGACUCGGUGAAGUCUUAGUACCUGUGAAGAUGCAGGUUGCCCGCGACUAGACGGAAAGACCCCAUGGAGCUUCACUGCAGGUUGACAUUGGGCUUGGAUGCAUGAUGUACAGGAUAGGUGGGAGGCUGUGAGCCGUGCGCGCCAGCGUACGGGGAGCCGCUGUUGGGAUACCACCCUUCAUGCAUCUAGGUCCUAACCGGAGGCAACGGGCCACGGGACAGUGUCAGUCGGGCAGUUUGACUGGGGCGGUCGCCUCCCAAAGAGUAACGGAGGCGCCCAAAGAUACCCUCAGCAUGGAUGGAAACCAUGCAUAGAGUGCAAAGGCAUAAGGGUGUCUGACUGCGAGACAUACAGGUCGAGCAGGGACGAAAGUCGGGCUUAGUGAUCCGGCGGAUCCGAAUGGAAGGGCCGUCGCUCAACGGAUAAAAGCUACCCUGGGGAUAACAGGCUGAUCUCCCCCAA
rnacentral:rRNA from 1 species